rnacentral:tRNA from 1 species
GAAAGGAAGACAAGAACUGCNAACUCCAACCACUGAUAUUGACCUAUCAGACCUUUCC